CCUACGGGGGGCUGCAGUGGGGAAUAUUGGACAAUGGGGGAAACCCUGAUCCAGCAAUGCCGCGUGAGUGAUGAAGGCCUUAGGGUUGUAAAGCUCUUUUACCCGGGACGAUAAUGACGGUACCGGGAGAAUAAGCCCCGGCUAACUCCGUGCCAGCAGCCGCGGUAAUACGGAGGGGGCUAGCGUUGUUCGGAAUUACUGGGCGUAAAGCGCGCGUAGGCGGCGGCAUAAGUCAGGGGUGAAAGCCCGGAGCUCAACUUCGGAUGUGCCUUUGA
rnacentral:rRNA from 1 species